UUCAAUUCCUCGGACUGGACUAGAUUUCAAGUUCUCGCAUUUUGACCCAGUCCUCGACUUGAUCAAAUUGCGUGGACUUGAAAUCUAGUCCAGUCCGCAUAGUUGGA